rnacentral:lncRNA from 11 species
CCUGAAUGGGGUAUAACUCGGGGAAUGUUUGUAAUGCUUUUUGGGACUUACUGAAUCACUUGCUUCAGAACUUACAAGGAGUAAGUUCCUGGCCGAGAGCCUACUAUGCUUGUCUCCUUGCACCAUUGAAGAAAUCUCCAAAGAAGAUGCAUGAAUUUAAUGCAAAGAACUUUGUGUGUCUCUGCUGGAUGAACACAUUCUUUGGGAAAUUGAGGAAAAAUAGAAUUAAGUUAUGAAGCAUCUGAAUGGAUUUUUAUCAAGUCUGCUCUAAUGUAUAUUUGAAUAUUUCAACUGGAA